rfam:Camelus ferus unplaced genomic scaffold scaffold859, whole genome shotgun sequence.
CAGAGUGCAGCGCAGGGACAGAGCAUGUGCUUAGCAUGCAUGAGGUCCUGGGUUCAAUCCCCAGUACUCUCA